AACGAACGCUGGCGGCAUGCCUAACACAUGCAAGUCGAACGAGACCUUCGGGUCUAGUGGCGCACGGGUGCGUAACGCGUGGGAACCUGCCCUUAGGUUCGGAAUAACUCCCCGAAAGGGGUGCUAAUACCGGAUAAUGUCUUCGGACCAAAGAUUUAUCGCCUUUGGAUGGGCCCGCGUUGGAUUAGCUAGUUGGUAGGGUAAAAGCCUACCAAGGCGACGAUCCAUAGCUGGUCUGAGAGGAUGAUCAGCCACACUGGGACUGAGACACGGCCCAGACUCCUACGGGAGGCAGCAGUGGGGAAUAUGGGACAAUGGGCGAAAGCCUGAUCCAGCAAGGCCGCGUGAGUGAUGAAGGCCUUAGGGUUGUAAAGCUCUUUUACCCGGGAUGAUAAUGACGGUACCGGGAGAAUAAGCUCCGGCUAACUCCGU
rnacentral:rRNA from 1 species